rnacentral:rRNA from 1 species
AGAGCGAACGCUGGCGGCAGGCUUAACACAUGCAAGUCGAGCGGGCGUAGCAAUACGUCAGCGGCAGACGGGUGAGUAACGCGUGGGAACGUACCUUUUGGUUCGGAACAACCCAGGGAAACUUGGGCUAAUACCGGAUAAGCCCUUACGGGGAAAGAUUUAUCGCCGAAAGAUCGGCCCGCGUCUGAUUAGCUAGUUGGUGGGGUAAUGGCCCACCAAGGCGACGAUCAGUAGCUGGUCUGAGAGGAUGAUCAGCCACAUUGGGACUGAGACACGGCCCAAACUCCUACGGGAGGCAGCAGUGGGGAAUAUUGGACAAUGGGCGCAAGCCUGAUCCAGCCAUGCCGCGUGAGUGAUGAAGGCCCUAGGGUUGUAAAGCUCUUUUGUGCGGGAAGAUAAUGACGGUACCGCAAGAAUAAGCCCCGGACUAACUUCGCGCCAGCAGCCGC